rnacentral:ncRNA from 1 species
AAGUCGUAACAAGGUUCCCUUCUGUAGCGCAGCUCCGGAGACCUUGCACCCCGAACGGGAGGCAGCACGACGAUAAACAAGGCUCGCCGCGUGCAAGUUGGCCGCACGGUCAGCAACACAAUCGAAUUGGCGGGGACCUCCUAAAGCCUGCAACACCAACCGUCCGGGGAAACUCGGGCGGGGCCCUCACGGGAUGGUAAGAGAGUGCAGGAUAGACAAUGGACGAUCCGCAGCGAAGACCCUACCGGCGAGAGCCCACGGGUACCGUUCACAGACUAAGUGAUUGUGGGCGGGGCGCCAGGCCCCGUCUAAGAUAUAGUCGGUCUCUGCUCGAAAGGGCAGAGCCUAGCGCGUCCGUAGGUGAACCUGCGGAAGGAUCAUUAAAGAAUCGCCCCGUUUUUUGAAAUGGGUUCUAUUCCCAAACCGUGUUUACAUACCUUUGUUGCUUUGGCAGGCCGCCUUCUAGGCGUCGGCUCCGGCUGACUGCGCCUGCCAGAGGACCCAAACUCGUUUGUUUAGUGAUGUCUGAGUACUAUAUAAUAGUUAAAACUUUCAACAACGGAUCUCUUGGUUCUGGCAUCGAUGAAGAACGCAGCGAAAUGCGAUAAGUAAUGUGAAUUGCAGAAUUCAGUGAAUCAUCGAAUCUUUGAACGCACAUUGCGCCCCUUGGUAUUCCGAGGGGCAUGCCUGUUCGAGCGUCAUUAUAACCACUCAAGCCUCGGCUUGGUCUUGGGGUUCGCGGUCUCGCGGCCCUUAAAAUCAGUGGCGGUGCCGUCUGGCUCUAAGCGUAGUAAUUUUCUCGCUAUAGGGUCCAGGUGACCACCUGCCAGAACCCCCCCACUCUUUACGGUUGACCUCGGAUCAGGUAGGGAUACCCGCUGAACUUAA